UUUAUGGAGAGUUUGAUCCUGGCUCAGGAUGAACGCUGGCGGCGUGCCUAAUACAUGCAAGUCGAGCGAACGGACGAGAAGCUUGCUUCUCUGAUGUUAGCGGCGGACGGGUGAGUAACACGUGGAUAACCUACCUAUAAGACUGGGAUAACUUCGGGAAACCGGAGCUAAUACCGGAUAAUAUUUUGAACCGCAUGGUUCAAAAGUGAAAGACGGUCUUGCUGUCACUUAUAGAUGGAUCCGCGCUGCAUUAGCUAGUUGGUAAGGUAACGGCUUACCAAGGCAACGAUGCAUAGCCGACCUGAGAGGGUGAUCGGCCACACUGGAACUGAGACACGGUCCAGACUCCUACGGGAGGCAGCAGUAGGGAAUCUUCCGCAAUGGGCGAAAGCCUGACGGAGCAACGCCGCGUGAGUGAUGAAGGUCUUCGGAUCGUAAAACUCUGUUAUUAGGGAAGAACAUAUGUGUAAGUAACUGUGCACAUCUUGACGGUACCUAAUCAGAAAGCCACGGCUAACUACGUGCCAGCAGCCGCGGUAAUACGUAGGUGGCAAGCGUUAUCCGGA
rnacentral:rRNA from 1 species